CGAGGUGAUCGCGACCGGGACACGCCCAGGCCCUCGGGCUGGUGGAACGGACCGGUUGAGGAAAGUCCGGGCUCCCCAAUGGCCAGGCUUGCUGGGUAACGCCCAGUGCGGGUGACCGUGAGGAGAGUGCCACAGAAACACACCGCCGAUGGCCCUUCGGGGAUCAGGCAAGGGUGCAAAGGUGCGGUAAGAGCGCACCAGCAGCAUCGAGAGGUGCUGGCUCGGUAAACCCCGGCUGGGAGCAAGGCCUAGGAACAACGGUUGGCCAUGACACCCGUUCCGCUUUUCUUGCGCCGCUUGAGGCCAUCGGUAACGGUGGUCCCAGACAGAUGAUCGCCCCCGCGAAAGCGGAGAACAGAACCCGGCUUACGUCCUGCUUUCACC
rnacentral:RNase_P_RNA from 1 species